CGCCUCUUGACACAAUAUAAGAGGUCCAGCCUGCCCAGUGACAUAGUUUAACGGCCACGGUACCCUAACCGUGCGAAGGUAGCAUAAUCACUUGUUCUUUAAAUGGGGACUUGUAUCAACGGCAUCACGAGGGUUCUACUGUCUCCUUUCUCUAAUCAGUGAAACUAAUCUCCCCGUGAAGAAGCGGGGAUACCACCAUAAGACGAGAAGACCCCAUGGAGCUUUAAACCCAACUACACCCCCUACUUUCCAUAUUCACUCAACCAACAGGGCCCUGUACGCUUGGUUUUAGGUUGGGGUGACCACGGAGUAAAAUUAAACCUCCACGAUGAACGGGAAUACCCUCUUAUCUAAGAGCCACACCUCUAAGAAUUAGUAUACUAACAUAAAAUGAUCCGAUACUCGAUCAACGAACCAAGUUACCCUGGGGAUAACAGCGCAAUCCAUUUCAAGAGCCCCUAUCGACAAAUGGGUUUACGACCUCGAUGUUGGAUCAGGAUACCCCAGUGGUGCAGCAGCUACUAAAGGUUCGUUUGUUCAACGAUUAAAAUCC
rnacentral:rRNA from 1 species